UACGGAGAGAGCUAGCGUUAUUCGGAAUUACUGGGCGUAAAGCGCACGUAGGCGGCUUUGUAAGUAAGAGGUGAAAGCCCAGAGCUCAACUCUGGAAUUGCCUUUUAGACUGCAUCGCUUGAAUCAUGGAGAGGUCAGUGGAAUUCCGAGUGUAGAGGUGAAAUUCGUAGAUAUUCGGAAGAACACCAGUGGCGAAGGCGGCUGACUGGACAUGUAUUGACGCUGAGGUGCGAAAGCGUGGGGAGCAAACAGG
rnacentral:rRNA from 1 species